AGAGUUUGAUCCUGGCUCAGGAUGAACGCUGGCGGCGUGCUUAACACAUGCAAGUCGAACGAACCUUCGGGUUAGUGGCGGACGGGUGAGUAACGCGUGAGAAUCUGCCCUCAGGAGGGGGAUAACGGUUGGAAACGACCGCUAAUACCCCAUAUGCCUAUUGGUGAAAUGAAUUUCGCCUGAGGAUGAGCUCGCGUCUGAUUAGCUUGUUGGUGAGGUAAUGGCUCACCAAGGCUUCGAUCAGUAGCUGGUCUGAGAGGAUGAUCAGCCACACUGGGACUGAGACACGGCCCAGACUCCUACGGGAGGCAGCAGUGGGGAAUUUUCCGCAAUGGGCGAAAGCCUGACGGAGCAACGCCGCGUGAGGGACGAAGGCCUCUGGGCUGUAAACCUCUUUUCUCAAGGAAGAAGAUAUGACGGUACUUGAGGAAUAAGCCACGGCUAAUUCCGUGCCAGCAGCCGCGGUAAUACGGGAGUGGCAAGCGUUAUCCGGAAUUAUUGGGCGUAAAGCGUCCGCAGGCGGCUUCUCAAGUCUGCUGUUAAAGCGUGGAGCUUAACUCCAUCAUGGCAGUGGAAACUGAAAGGCUUGAGUAUGGUAGGGGCAGAGGGAAUUCCCGGUGUAGCGGUGAAAUGCGUAGAUAUCGGGAAGAACACCAGUGGCGAAGGCGCUCUGCUGGGCCAUUACUGACGCUCAUGGACGAAAGCCAGGGAGCGAAAGGGAUUAGAUACCCCUGUAGUCCUGGCCGUAAACGAUGAACACUAGGUGUCGGGGGGAAUCGACCCCUUCGGUGUCGUAGCUAACGCGUUAAGUGUUCCGCCUGGGGAGUACGCACGCAAGUGUGAAACUCAAGGGAAUUUGACGGGGGCCCGCACAAGCGGUGGAGUAUGUGGUUUUAAUUCGAUGCAACGCGAAGAACCCUUUACCCAGGGUUUGACAUCCUGCGACCUUCUUAGAAAAUUUGGAGGGUGCCCUUUCGGGAAUGGCAGUGACAGUUGGUGCAAUUGCUGGUCGGUCAGCUUCGUGUCUUGGAGAUGUUUGGGUUAAGUCCCGCCAACCGUUG
rnacentral:rRNA from 1 species